rnacentral:lncRNA from 10 species
UUUUUUUUUUUUUUUUUGAGGCGGCCAGACUUGGAACACUCAGGAAUACAGACAGACGUAGGAAUUGCUUAAAAACAAGAAGUUCUCCCACCCUUGUUGGAGCGAAUGCGCGAGUCUGACAGUGAACCUUUUGGGAAAGAGCCAGCAUUGUAACCGUGCUCGGUGACUUCUCUGGCUUUAUAGGGAACAGAUGUGAGGAUAGCAAGGGGCGCACACGUGAAAUGCCUGGCAGGUACCCCUUUGUGGCUCUACUUACUUCUUGCCAUUCCUCUGCCCUCCAAGUGUAGAGGGGACACCGUGGGCCUUGGCAGUCGCGUUCCGACUCCGGUCUGGUGUAUGGGUUGCACUCGGUCUCUCUGGCUAUUUUGUGUGUUCCGAUCUGACAGCCCACAUGCCUCUGCUGUACGCCUCGGCCACAGGACACAGAGCACUAAGAAGACAGAGAACGAAUAUGGAAAGAGAAAUUCUGCUGUGAGAAAUUCAUAGAACUACCUGGCAGAAAAGGAAGGGUGAUAUUGCCUCCCAGGGAACAUUUGGCAACGUCUGAAGAUAUUUUUCACUGUCACAACCGAGGGGAUUCACAGUCUGGUGAGACAAGUUUGAGAUCUCAUAUUUUCAGCUCAUCCUUGAAAACCUUUCUUCGAUUUGACUGACCUUGAUGGCUCCCUGGAAUCUCACCUACAUUUUAUGGGAAAUUCAACUCUCCAGAGAGAAGAGCUUUCAGAUAGCUGCGGGACUUGCAACUGUGACUUUCAGCUUUCGCUUUUGAAUGAGGCUCCAAAUGUCUCAAUGGUGGCACUAUUUCCAGAUUUGGGAGCCCUGCAAAGCUAAUCUGCUCAACCUU